CAAUCAUGCCAGUGAUGGUGAGAUGAAUUGUAAGAAGUCAGCAGAAGCCAUAGUAGUCCACCAGGACGAAGGGC
rnacentral:ncRNA from 2 species